GAUGAACGCUGGCGGCGUGCCUAAUACAUGCAAGUCGAGCGAACAGAUGAGGAGUUUGCUCCGCAGACGAUUGCGGAAGACGGGAGUGUCACACGUGGAUACCGUACCUCAAUUAGUGAGAUAACUUCGGGAAUCCGGAGCAUAUAGCGGAUGACAUAUUCAACGGCGUGGUUCAGUAGAGAUAGAUGGGUUUGUUGUCAGUUAUGGAUGUAUCAGCGGCGUAGUAGCUUGUUGGUGUAGUAAUGGCUUACCAAGGCGUCGACGGGUAGCCGGCCUGAGAGGGUGUACGGCCACAUUGGGACUGAGAGACGGCCCAGACUCCUACGGGAGGCAGCAGUGGGGAAUAUUGCACAAUGGGCGCAAGCCGGAUGCAGCGACGCCGCGUGGGGGAUGACGGCCUUCGGGUUGUAAACUCCUUUCGCUAGGGACGAAGCGUUUUGUGACGGUACCUGGAGAAGAAGCACCGGCUAACUACGUG
rnacentral:rRNA from 1 species